rnacentral:tRNA from 1 species
GCCCGCGUAGCUCAGCGGAUAGAGCGCCUGCUUCCGAAGCAGGAGGUACCGAGUUCGAUUCUCGGCGUGGGUA